UGGGGAAUUUUGGACAAUGGGGGAAACCCUGAUCCAGCCAUCCCGCGUGUGCGAUGAAGGCCUUCGGGUUGUAAAGCACUUUUGGCAGGAAAGAAACGUCAUGGGUUAAUACCCCGUGAAACUGACGGUACCUGCAGAAUAAGCACCGGCUAACUACGUGCCAGCAGCCGCGGUAAUACGUAGGGUGCAAGCGUUAAUCGGAAUUACUGGGCGUAAAGCGUGCGCAGGCGGUUCGGAAAGAAAGAUGUGAAAUCCCAGGGCUCAACUUUGGAACUGCAUUUUUAACUACCGGGCUAGAGUGUGUCAGAGGGAGGUAGAAUUCCGCGUGUAGCAGUGAAAUGCGUAGAUAUGCGGAGGAACACCGAUGGCGAAGGCAGCCUACUGGGAUAACACUGACGCUCAUGCACGAAAGCGUGGGGAGCAAACAGG
rnacentral:rRNA from 1 species